CAACGCCGCGUGGAGGAUGAAGGUCUUCGGAUUGUAAACUCCUGUCAGUGGGAAAAAGGGAACGUGCUCAUACCACGUUUCAUUGAUUGUACCCGCAGAGGAAGCCCCGGCUAACUCUGUGCCAGCAGCCGCGGUAAUACAGAGGGGGCAAGCGUUAUUCGGAAUUAUUGGGCGUAAAGGGCGCGUAGGCGGCCCUUCAAGUGGUAGGUGAAAUCCCUCGGCUUAACCGAGGAGCUGCCCGCCAAACUGAAGAGCUUGAGUCCGGGAGAGGUGAGUGGAAUUCCCAGUGUAGCGGUGAAAUGCGUAGAUAUUGGGAGGAACACCAGUGGCGAAGGCGGCUCACUGGACCGGAACUGACGCUGAGGCGCGAAAGCGUGGGGAGCAAACGGGAUUAGAUACCCCGGUAGUCCACGCUGUAAACGAUGAGUGCUUGGUGUAGCGGGUAUCGACCCCUGCUGUGCCGAAGCUAACGCAUUAAGCACUCCGCCUGGGGAGUACGGUCGCAAGGCUG
rnacentral:rRNA from 1 species